rnacentral:rRNA from 1 species
UGGCGGCGUGGUUAAGACAUGCAAGUCGAACGGAACAUUAUGAGUAGCAAUACAAGUGAUGUUUAGUGGCGAACGGGUGCGUAACACGUGGAUACAUUCCGGGAAGCGGGGGAUAGCCCAGGGAAACUUGGAUUAAUACCGCAUGUGAUCGAGAGAUCAAAGACGGGGACCGCAAGGCCUGUCACUUCCCGAUUGGUCCGCGGCCUAUCAGCUAGUUGGCGGGGUAAAAGCCCACCAAGGCGACGACGGGUAGCUGGUCUGAGAGGACGACCAGCCACACUGGAACUGAGACACGGUCCAGACACCUACGGGUGGCAGCAGUCGAGAAUCUUUCACAAUGGGGGCAACCCUGAUGGAGCGACGCCGCGUGGAGGAUAAGGUCUUCGGAUUGUAAACUCCUGUCAUGUGUGAACAAGGUUGCGGGGCUAAUACCUUUGCAAAUUGAUGGUAACACAAGAGGAAGAGACGGCUAACUCUGUGCCAGCAGCCGCGGUAAUACAGAGGUCUCAAGCGUUGUUCGGAAUCACUGGGCGUAAAGGGUGCGUAGGUGGCGUGGUAAGUCAGAUGUGAAAGCCCGGGGCUCAACCUCGGAAUUGCAUCCGAUGCUACCAUGCUAGAGUACUGAAGGGGUGACUAGAAUUCUAGGUGUAGCAGUGAAAUGCGUAGAUAUCUAGAGGAAUACCAAAGGCGAANGCAGGUCACUGGGCAGUUACUGACACUGAGGCACGAAGGCCAGGGGAGCGAACGGGAUUAGAUACCCCGGUAGUCCUGGNAGUAAACGGUGCACGUUUGGUAUGGGCGCAAUCGACCGCGCCCGUGCCGGANCUAACGCGUUAAACGUGCCGCCNGNGAAAGUACGGUCGCAAGAUUAAAACUCAAAGAAANUUGACGGGGACCCG